CCAUGCCGCGUGUGUGAAGAAGGCCUUCGGGUUGUAAAGCACUUUCAGUCAGGAGGAAAGGUUAGUAGUUAAUACCUGCUAGCUGUGACGUUACUGACAGAAGAAGCACCGGCUAACUCCGUGCCAGCAGCCGCGGUAAUACGGAGGGUGCGAGCGUUAAUCGGAAUUACUGGGCGUAAAGCGUACGCAGGCGGUUUGUUAAGCGAGAUGUGAAAGCCCCGGGCUCAACCUGGGAACUGCAUUUCGAACUGGCAAACUAGAGUGUGAUAGAGGGUGGUAGAAUUUCAGGUGUAGCGGUGAAAUGCGUAGAGAUCUGAAGGAAUACCGAUGGCGAAGGCAGCCACCUGGGUCAACACUGACGCUCAUGUACGAAAGCGUGGGGAGCAAACAGGAUUAGAUACCCUGGUAGUCCACGCCGUAAACGAUGUCUACUAGAAGCUCGGAACUUCGGUUCUGUUUUUCAAAGCUAACGCAUUAAGUAGACCGCCUGGGGAGUACGGCCGCAAGGUUAAAACUCAAAUGAAUUGACGGGGGCCCGCACAAGCGGUGGAGCAUGUGGUUUAAUUCGAUGCAACGCGAAGAACCUUACCUACACUUGACAUACAGAGAACUUACCAGAGAUGGUUUGGUGCCUUCGGGAACUCUGAUACAGGUGCUGCA
rnacentral:rRNA from 1 species